rnacentral:rRNA from 1 species
CCUACGGGCGGCAGCAGUGAGGAAUAUUGGUCAAUGGACGAGAGUCUGAACCAGCCAAGUAGCGUGAAGGAUGACUGCCCUAUGGGUUGUAAACUUCUUUUAUAUGGGAAUAAAAUGUUCCACGUGUGGGAUUUUGUAUGUACCAUAUGAAUAAGGAUCGGCUAACUCCGUGCCAGCAGCCGCGGUAAUACGGAGGAUCCGAGCGUUAUCCGGAUUUAUUGGGUUUAAAGGGAGCGUAGGUGGAUUGUUAAGUCGGUUGUGAAAGUUUGCGGCUCAACCGUAAAAUUGCAGUUGAAACUGGCAGUCUUGAGUACAGUAGAGGUGGGCGGAAUUCGUGGUGUAGCGGUGAAAUGCUUAGAUAUCACGAAGAACUCCGAUUGCGAAGGCAGUUCACUGGACUGCAACUGACACUGAGGCUCGAAAGUGUGGGUAUCAAACAGGAUUAGAUACCCGAGUAGUC